rnacentral:rRNA from 1 species
UACGUAGGGGGCUAGCGUUGUCCGGAUUUAUUGGGCGUAAAGAGCGUGUAGGCGGCCAGGUAGGUCUGCUGUGAAAACUCGAGGCUCAACCUCGAGACGUCGGCGGAAACCAUCUAGCUAGAGUCCGGAAGAGGCGAGUGGAAUUCCCUGGUGUAGCGGUGAAAUGCGCAGAUAUCGGGAGGAACACCAAUUGCGAAGGCAGCUCGCUGGGACGUUACUGACGCUGAGACGCGAAAGCGUGGGGAGCGAACAGG